GACGAACGCUGGCGGCGUGCUUAACACAUGCAAGUCGAACGGAAAGGCCCUGCUUUUGUGGGGUGCUCGAGUGGCGAACGGGUGAGUAACACGUGAGUAACCUGCCCUUGACUUUGGGAUAACUUCAGGAAACUGGGGCUAAUACCGGAUAGGAGCUCCUGCUGCAGGGUGGGGGUGGGAAAGUUUCGGCGGUUGGGGAUGGACUCGCGGCUUAUCAGCUUGUUGGUGGGGUAGUGGCUUACCAAGGCUUUGACGGGUAGCCGGCCGGAGAGGGUGACCGGCCACAUUGGGCCUGAGAUACGGCCCAGACUCCUACGGGAGGCAGCAGUGGGGAAUAUUGCACAAUGGGCGGAAGCCUGAUGCAGCAACGCCGCGUGCGGGAUGACGGCCUUCGGGUUGUAAACCGCUUUCGCCUGUGACGAAGCGUGAGUGACGGUAAUGGGUAAAGAAGCACCGGCUAACUACGUG
rnacentral:rRNA from 1 species